rnacentral:rRNA from 1 species
CACGGAGUUGGCCGAUCCUUAUUCUUACGAUACCGUCAAGCUACUUCACGAAGUAGUGUUUCUUCUCGUAUAAAAGCAGUUUACAAUCCAUAGGACCGUCAUCCUGCACGCGGCAUGGCUGGAUCAGGCUUGCGCCCAUUGUCCAAUAUUCCUCACUGCUGCCUCCCGUAGGAGUCUGGUCCGUGUCUCAGUACCAGUGUGGGGGAUCUCCCUCUCAGGACCCCUACCCAUCGUAGCCUUGGUAAGCCGUUACCUUACCAACUAGCUAAUGGGACGCAUGCUCAUCUUUUACCGUUGUGACUUUAAUAAUGUCUUGAUGCCAAGUCAUUAUACUAUGAGGUAUUAAUCCAAAUUUCUCUGGGCUAUCCCUCUGUAAAAGGUAGAUUGCAUACGCGUUACGCACCCGUGCGCCGGUCUCUAGCUCCGAAGAACUAUACCCCUCGACUUGCAUGUGUUAAGCCUGCCGCUAGCGUUCAUCCUGAGCCAGGAUCUAAA